UACGAAGGGGGGCUAGCGUUGCUCGGAAUUACUGGGCGUAAAGUGUGCGCAGGCGGCCAUGCAAGUCGAGUGUGAAAGCCCCGAGCUUAACUUGGGAAUUGCGCUCGAAAACUACGUGGCUGGAGUGUGGCAGAGGAAGGUGGAAUUCCACGUGUAGCGGUGAAAUGCGUAGAUAUCGGGAGGAACACCAGUGGCGAAGGCGGGUCUCUGGGCCGAUACUGACGCUGAGACUCGAAAGCGUGGGGAGCAAACAGGG
rnacentral:rRNA from 1 species